UGAGGAAUAUUGGUCAAUGGGCGCAAGCCUGAACCAGCCAUGCCGCGUGCAGGAAGAAUGCCCUAUGGGUUGUAAACUGCUUUUAUUUAGGAAUAAACUCCCCAACGUGUUGGGGCCUGAAGGUACUAAAUGAAUAAGCACCGGCUAACUCCGUGCCAGCAGCCGCGGUAAUACGGAGGGUGCAAGCGUUAUCCGGAAUCAUUGGGUUUAAAGGGUCCGCAGGCGGAUUUAUAAGUCAGUGGUGAAAGCCUAUCGCUUAACGAUAGAACUGCCAUUGAUACUGUAAGUCUUGAAUUCGGUCGGAGUGGGCGGAAUGUGUAGUGUAGCGGUGAAAUGCAUAGAUAUUACACAGAACACCGAUAGCGAAGGCAGCUCACUAGGCCUGAAUUGACGCUCAUGGACGAAAGCGUGGGGAGCAAACAGG
rnacentral:rRNA from 1 species